AGCUGGUCUUUCGGGACAAGUGCUCGCCCUUGCUCUUUCCGACACACCCUGUGCACUCCCGCGUGGGCUGCGGUGACUUCGGUUGCCGUGCCCGCGAUUUUAUACACUCUUUGUAUGUCUCAGAAUGUCUUUGCGUGUUGCGCAUCUAAUACAACUUUCAACAACGGAUCUCUUGGCUCUCGCAUCGAUGAAGAACGCAGCGAAAUGCGAUAAGUAAUGUGAAUUGCAGAAUUCAGUGAAUCAUCGAAUCUUUGAACGCACCUUGCGCCCCUUGGUAUUCCGAGGGGCACACCUGUUUGAGUGUCGUGAAUUUCUCAACUCCGCCUCCUUUGCGGGAGCGCGGGGCUUGGAGUUGGAGGCUUGCGGGCGUAAGUCCGCUCCUCUCAAAUGCAUUAGUGAAGCCCAGGUGGCCUCGGCGUGAUAAUUGUCUACGUCCAAGGUUGUCUGUAGCGGUUUUCGCUUCUAACCGUCCUUCGGGACAAUUCAUCGAAACUUGACCUCAGAUCAGGUGGGACUACCCGCUGAACUUAAGCAUAUCAAUAAG
rnacentral:rRNA from 1 species